rnacentral:rRNA from 1 species
GACGAACGCUGGCGGCGUGCCUAAUACAUGCAAGUCGAACGAACUCUGGUAUUGAUUGGUGCUUGCAUCAUGAUUUACAUUUGAGUGAGUGGCGAACUGGUGAGUAACACGUGGGAAACCUGCCCAGAAGCGGGGGAUAACACCUGGAAACAGAUGCUAAUACCGCAUAACAACUUGGACCGCAUGGUCCGAGUUUGAAAGAUGGCUUCGGCUAUCACUUUUGGAUGGUCCCGCGGCGUAUUAGCUAGAUGGUGGGGUAACGGCUCACCAUGGCAAUGAUACGUAGCCGACCUGAGAGGGUAAUCGGCCACAUUGGGACUGAGACACGGCCCAAACUCCUACGGGAGGCAGCAGUAGGGAAUCUUCCACAAUGGACGAAAGUCUGAUGGAGCAACGCCGCGUGAGUGAAGAAGGGUUUCGGCUCGUAAAACUCUGUUGUUAAAGAAGAACAUAUCUGAGAGUAACUGUUCAGGUAUUGACGGUAUUUAACCAGAAAGCCACGGCUAACUACGUGCCAGCAGUCGCGGUAAUACGUAGGUGGCAAGCGUUGUCCGGAUUUAUUGGGCGUAAAGCGAGCGCAGGCGGUUUUUUAAGUCUGAUGUGAAAGCCUUCGGCUCAACCGAAGAAGUGCAUCGGAAACUGGGAAACUUGAGUGCAGAAGAGGACAGUGGAACUCCAUGUGUAGCGGUGAAAUGCGUAGAUAUAUGGAAGAACACCAGUGGCGAAGGCGGCUGUCUGGUCUGUAACUGACGCUGAGGCUCGAAAGUAUGGGUAGCAAACAGGAUUAGAUACCCUGGUAGUCCAUACCGUAAACGAUGAAUGCUAAGUGUUGGAGGGUUUCCGCCCUUCAGUGCUGCAGCUAACGCAUUAAGCAUUCCGCCUGGGGAGUACGGCCGCAAGGCUGAAACUCAAAGGAAUUGACGGAGGCCCGCACAAGCGGUGGAGCAUGUGGUUUAAUUCGAAGCUACGCGAAGAACCUUACCAGGUCUUGACAUACUAUGCAAAUCUAAGAGAUUAGACGUUCCCUUCGGGGACAUGGAUACAGGUGGUGCAUGGUUGUCGUCAGCUCGUGUCGUGAGAUGUUGGGUUAAGUCCCGCAACGAGCGCAACCCUUAUUAUCAGUUGCCAGCAUUAAGUUGGGCACUCUGGUGAGACUGCCGGUGACAAACCGGAGGAAGGUGGGGAUGACGUCAAAUCAUCAUGCCCCUUAUGACCUGGGCUACACACGUGCUACAAUGGAUGGUACAACGAGUUGCGAACUCGCGAGAGUAAGCUAAUCUCUUAAAGCCAUUCUCAGUUCGGAUUGUAGGCUGCAACUCGCCUACAUGAAGUCGGAAUCGCUAGUAAUCGCGGAUCAGCAUGCCGCGGUGAAUACGUUCCCGGGCCUUGUACACACCGCCCGUCACACCAUGAGAGUUUGUAACACCCAAAGUCGGUGGGGUAACCUUUUAGGAACCAGCCGCCUAAGGUGGGACAGAUGAUUAGGGUG